CCUGGCUCAGGAUGAACGCUAGCUACAGGCUUAACACAUGCAAGUCGAGGGGCAGCAUGGGAUUAGCUUGCUAAUCCUGAUGGCGACCGGCGCACGGGUGAGUAACGCGUAUCCAACCUGCCCCGCAACCGCGGAAUAGCCCGCCGAAAGGCGGAUUAAUGCCGCAUGAGCUCGCGUGGGGGCAUCUGCCCGCGAGCAAAGGUUCACUCCGGUUGCGGAUGGGGAUGCGUCCGAUUAGGCAGCAGGCGGGGCAACGGCCCACCUGGCCUACGAUCGGUAGGGGUUCUGAGAGGAAGGUCCCCCACAUUGGAACUGAGACACGGUCCAAACUCCUACGGGAGGCAGCAGUGAGGAAUAUUGGUCAAUGGGCGAUGGCCUGAACCAGCCAAGUAGCGUGCGGGACGACGGCCCUAUGGGUUGUAAACCGCUUUUGCAGGGGAAUAAAGUGUCCUACGCGUAGGAUUUUGUAUGUACCCUGAGAAUAAGGACCGGCUAAUUCCGUGCC
rnacentral:rRNA from 1 species